GGGAUUGACAAAACCUAAAAAGUUUAUCCAGGGAUCUGCGAGGAAUCCACAGACCCAGGAUUCAACAGAAAUUAUGUUCAAUUCCCCCAUUGUAGAAAUAAAGUGAGACCCCAAGAGAACUCGAGACAGGCAGGGCUGGAACUCAGGCCGUCAGAUUCUGAGUCCCGUGCCUUCCUGCUGGAGAAUCGGGCAAGUCGCUUAGCCUCUCUGAGCUCAGUUUACUUGUCUGUACAAGGGGUACAACCUCCUCCAGUUGUAAGGAAUUCAGAGAGACGGCACAUACAAAGCUCUUAGCAUAGUGCCUAGCACGGAUUCAGUGUUCCAUAAAUGUGAGCCUCUGUCCUGGGGACUGGCCCAAGCUGGGAGGAGGGAGACUGGCUGAUGAAGAGUCUAGGUUCCUGCAGGUCUGGAGACCCAGUUUGCAAAUGAGGUAAGACAUAAUUCUAGAAUCUGCUAAGGACAGGUGAGAUUCUAACACUGUCUCAUCCCAUUGCUAGCCCUAGAGUUUCUCAUGGGGAUAGUUCCUCAGGCUGGCCUUUUAUGUUCUCAUGAUACCUUUGGAAUUAUUUAAAUAUAAACUCUGACUUUUCACGGGAGUGGGAGCCACAAAAUGGCCCUGGAUAGGGAGGUCCCUAAGUCACCUGGGCCUCCACCCCUAGACUGUGAAUCCUCCUUCCUCACCCCUACGCCGCCACCUGGACCGGGCCCAGCCCAGGGCAGACAUACUGGGCAUUUGUUGUGAUCUCUGACAAUCCUGAUGAGUCAUGAAGAAGCAUAUUUACCCAUUCGAACGCUAGCAAGUGCCUGAAACAGGGCAGGGGUCGGGUAGACCUCGGAAUCUCUGCACUCCAGACUCGAGGAUGUCAGACACAAGAAAGGAGAGUGCCCUUGAGAGCACACCAUGGCCACGCCCCUGGAGGAUGUUGGCAAGCAGGUGUGGCGGGGCGCCCUGCUCCUGGCAGACUACAUCCUGUUCCGACAGGACCUCUUCCGAGGAUGCACAGCGCUGGAGCUCGGGGCCGGCACGGGGCUCGCUAGCAUCAUCGCAGCCACCGUGGCACGGACCGUUUAUUGUACAGAUGUCGGUGCAGAUCUCUUGGCCAUGUGCCAGCGAAACAUUGCCCUCAACAGCCACCUGACUGCCACUGGAGGUGGUAUAGUUAAAGUCAAAGAACUGGACUGGCUGAAGGACGACCUCUGCACAGAUCCCGAGGUCCCCUUCAGUUGGUCACAAGAGGAAAUUUCUGACUUGUAUGAUCACACCACCAUCCUGUUUGCAGCCGAAGUGUUUUACGACGACGACUUGACUGAUGCUGUGUUUAAAACACUCUCCCGACUCGCCCACAGAUUGAAAAAUGCCUGCACAGCCAUACUGUCGGUGGAGAAGAGGCUCAACUUCACACUGAGACACUUGGACGUCACAUGUGAAGCCUACGAUCACUUCCGCUCCUGCCUGCACGCACUGGAGCAUCUCGCAGAUGGCAAGCUGCGCUUCGUGGUGGAGCCCGUGGAGGCCUCCUUCCCACAGCUCCUGGUUUACGAGCGCAUCCAGCAGCUGGAGCUCUGGAAGAUCAUCGCAGAACCAGUAACAUGACCCAUCGCCUCCACAAGGCGCGGCGUCUCGACUGUUCUUAGAGUAUAUUUCUAGUAAAAUCAGAAGCUCACCAAAGCAA
rnacentral:sRNA from 1 species